GCGGACGGGUGAGUAAUGCUUAGGAAUCUGCCUAUUAGUGGGGGACAACGUUCCGAAAGGAAUGCUAAUACCGCAUACGCCCUACGGGGGAAAGCAGGGGAUCUUCGGACCUUGCGCUAAUAGAUGAGCCUAAGUCGGAUUAGCUAGUUGGUGGGGUAAAGGCCUACCAAGGCGACGAUCUGUAGCGGGUCUGAGAGGAUGAUCCGCCACACUGGGACUGAGACACGGCCCAGACUCCUACGGGAGGCAGCAGUGGGGAAUAUUGGACAAUGGGCGCAAGCCUGAUCCAGCCAUGCCGCGUGUGUGAAGAAGGCCUUUUGGUUGUAAAGCACUUUAAGCGAGGAGGAGGCUCCUUUAGUUAAUACCUAAAGUGAGUGGACGUUACUCGCAGAAUAAGCACCGGCUAACUCUGUGCCAGCAGCCGCGGUAAUACAGAGGGUGCGAGCGUUAAUCGGAUUUACUGGGCGUAAAGCGUGCGUAGGCGGCUUUUUAAGUCGGAUGUGAAAUCCCUGAGCUUAACUUAGGAAUUGCAUUCGAUACUGGAAAGCUAGAGUAUGGGAGAGGAUGGUAGAAUUCCAGGUGUAGCGGUGAAAUGCGUAGAGAUCUGGAGGAAUACCGAUGGCGAAGGCAGCCAUCUGGCCUAAUACUGACGCUGAGGUACGAAAGCAUGGGGAGCAAACAGGAUUAGAUACCCUGGUAGUCCAUGCCGUAAACGAUGUCUACUAGCCGUUGGGGCCUUUGAGGCUUUAGUGGCGCAGCUAACGCGAUAAGUAGACCGCC
rnacentral:rRNA from 1 species